GCCCAGGUGAUGGAAUUGCUAUACAUGCCUGCUUCAAACACAGGAUUGUGCGAGUUGGAGUCUCGCCCUGGGCACCA
rnacentral:tRNA from 1 species